GUGGGGGCGAAGCGACUCUCUGGUCUGUAACUGACGCUGAGGAGCGAAAGCGUGGGGAGCGAACAGGAUUAGAUACCCUGGUAGUCCACGCCGUAAACGAUGAGUGCUAAGUGUUAGGGGGUUUCCGCCCCUUAGUGCUGCAGCUAACGCAUUAAGCACUCCGCCUGGGGAGUACGGUCGCAAGACUGAAACUCAAAGGAAUUGACGGGGGCCCGCACAAGCGGUGGAGCAUGUGGUUUAAUUCGAAGCAACGCGAAGAACCUUACCAGGUCUUGACAUCCUCUGACAAUCCUAGAGAUAGGACGUCCCCUUCGGGGGCAGAGUGACAGGUGGUGCAUGGUUGUCGUCAGCUCGUGUCGUGAGAUGUUGGGUUAAGUCCCGCAACGAGCGCAACCCUUGAUCUUAGUUGCCAGCAUUCAGUUGGGCACUCUAAGGUGACUGCCGGUGACAAACCGGAGGAAGGUGGGGAUGACGUCAAAUCAUCAUGCCCCUUAUGACCUGGGCUACACACGUGCUACAAUGGACAGAACAAAGGGCAGCGAAACCGCGAGGUUAAGCCAAUCCCACAAAUCUGUUCUCAGUUCGGAUCGCAGUCUGCAACUCGACUGCGUGAAGCUGGAAUCCCUAUUAAUCGCG
rnacentral:rRNA from 1 species